rnacentral:rRNA from 1 species
UACGUAGGUGGCGAGCGUUGUCCGGAAUGAUUGGGCGUAAAGGGCGCGUAGGCGGCUGUGCAAGUCAGUAGUGGAAGCCCAGCUUUUAAGGUUGGAAGUGCUAUUGAAACUGUGCAGCUUGAGUGCAGGAGAGGUUAUCGGAAUUCCCGGUGUAGCGGUGAAAUGCGUAGAGAUCGGGAGGAACACCAGUGGCGAAGGCGGGUGACUGGACUGCAACUGACGCUGAGGCGCGAAAGUGUGGGGAGCAAACAGGAUUAGA